rnacentral:tRNA from 1 species
GGGGGUUUAGCUCAGUGGUAGAGCGCUUGCCUAGCAAGCACAAGACCCUGGGUUCGGUCCCCAGCUCUG